rnacentral:rRNA from 1 species
AUUGAACGCUGGCGGCAUGCUUUACACAUGCAAGUCGAGCGGUAACAGGGAGCUUGCUCCGCUGACGAGUGGCGAACGGGUGAGUAAUGCGUCGGAACGUGCCGAGUAGUGGGGGAUAACGCAUCGAAAGGUGUGCUAAUACCGCAUACGUACUGAGGUAGAAAGCGGGGGACCUUCGGGCCUCACGCUAUUCGAGCGGCCGACGUCUGAUUAGCUAGUUGGUGAGGUAAAGGCUCACCAAGGCGACGAUCAGUAGCGGGUCUGAGAGGAUGAUCCGCCACACUGGGACUGAGACACGGCCCAGACUCCUACGGGAGGCAGCAGUGGGGAAUUUUGGACAAUGGGCGCAAGCCUGAUCCAGCCAUGCCGCGUGUCUGAAGAAGGCCUUCGGGUUGUAAAGGACUUUUGUCCGGGAGCAAAUGCUGGUGGCUACCGAGAUUAAUACUCUUGGAUAGUGGACGUUACUCGCAGAAUAAGCACCGGCUAACUCUGUGCCAGCCGCCGCGGUAAGAC